rnacentral:lncRNA from 1 species
GUGCAUUCGGGUGCCGAAAUGCACCCGUUUUGCAUCAUUUUUCGUGCAAGAACCGAAUGGCCAAAAACACUCCCAAACAUGUUCUAGUGCAUAUUUACGAAGAUUGCAUGCGUUCGUUGCGAAAAAAUCCACCCGAGUUUCGCUACCCGGCAAUAGUGCAUUCGGGUGCCGAAAUGCACCCGUUUUGCAUCAUUUUUCGUGCCGGAACCGAAUGCCCAAAAACACUCCCAAAUAUGUUCU